rnacentral:rRNA from 1 species
CAUGCAAGUCGAGCGGAAAGGCCCCUUCGGGGGUACUCGAGCGGCGAACGGGUGAGUAACACGUGAGCAACCUGCCCCUGACUCUGGGAUAAGCCCGGGAAACUGGGUCUAAUACCGGAUAUGACCACGGGUCGCAUGGCCUUGUGGUGGAAAGUUUUUCGGUUGGGGAUGGGCUCGCGGCCUAUCAGCUUGUUGGUGGGGUGAUGGCCUACCAAGGCGACGACGGGUAACCGGCCUGAGAGGGCGACCGGUCACACUGGGACUGAGACACGGCCCAGACUCCUACGGGAGGCAGCAGUGGGGAAUAUUGCGCAAUGGGCGGAAGCCUGACGCAGCGACGCCGCGUGGGGGAUGACGGCCUUCGGGUUGUAAACCUCUUUCAGCAGGGACGAAGCUAACGUGACGGUACCUGCAGAAGAAGCGCCGGCUAACUACGUGCCAGCAGCCGCGGUAAUACGUAGGGCGCAAGCGUUGUCCGGAAUUAUUGGGCGUAAAGAGCUCGUAGGCGGUUUGUCGCGUCUGUCGUGAAAGCCCACGGCUUAACUGUGGGUCUGCGGUGGAUACGGGCAGACUAGAGGCAGGUAGGGGAGAAUGGAAUUCCCGGUGUAGCGGUGAAAUGCGCAGAUAUCGGGAGGAACACCGGUGGCGAAGGCGGUUCUCUGGGCCUGUACUGACGCUGAGGAGCGA